rnacentral:misc_RNA from 1 species
GAAACGCGAUAGUUAAUGUGAAUUGCAGAAUUCAGUGAAUCAUCGAGUCUUUGAACGCACAUUGCGCCCAUAGGUAUUCCUUUGGGCAUGUCUGUUUGAGCGUCAUCUACACCCUCAAGCUCUGCUUGGUGUUGGGCGUCUGUCCCGCCUCCUUCGCGCGCGGACUCGCCCCAAAUCCAUUGGCGGCGGCCCUUGCCUCCCUCUCGCGCAGCACAUUGCGCUUCUCGAGGCGCGGCGGACCGCGUCCAGCAAGCAACCGUCACACCGUCUUUGACCUCGGAUCAGGUAGGGAUACCCGCUGAACUUAAGC